GAUGAACGCUGGCGGCGUGCCUAACACAUGCAAGUCGAACGGACAGACCCUGCUUUUGUGGGUUGCUCGAUUGGCGAACGGGUGAGUAACACGUGAGUAACCUGUCCUUGACUUUGGGAUAACUUCAGGAAACUCGGGCUAAUACCGGGUAGGAGCUCCUGCUGCAUGGUGGUGGUUGGAGAGUGUCGGCGGUUGGGGAUGGACUCGCGGCUUAUCAGCUUGUUGGUGGGGUAGUUGAUGACCAAGGGUUUGACGGGUAGCCGGCAUGAGAGGGUUACCGGCGACAUUGGGACUGAGAUACGGACCAGACUCCAACGGGAGGCAGCAGUGGGGAACAUUGCAGAACGGGCGGAAGCCUGAUGCAGCAACGCCGCGUGCGGGAUGACGGCCUUCGGGUUGUAAACCGCUUUCGCCUGUGACGAAGCGGGCGUGACGGUAAUGAGUAAAGAAGCACCGGCUAACUACGUG
rnacentral:rRNA from 1 species